GAUGAACGCUGGCGGCGUGCCUAAUACAUGCAAGUCGAGCGAACAGAUGAGGAGCUUGCUCCUCUGACGUUAGCGGCGGACGGGUGAGUAACACGUGGAUAACCUACCUAUAAGACUGGGAUAACUUCGGGAAACCGGAGCUAAUACCGGAUAAUAUAUUGAACCGCAUGGUUCAAUAGUGAAAGACGGUUUUGCUGUCACUUAUAGAUGGAUCCGCGCCGCAUUAGCUAGUUGGUAAGGUAACGGCUUACCAAGGCAACGAUGCGUAGCCGACCUGAGAGGGUGAUCGGCCACACUGGAGCUGAGACACGGUCCAGACUCCUACGGGAGGCAGCAGUAGGGAAUCUUCCGCAGUGGGCGAAAGCCUGACGGAGCAACGCCGCGUGAGUGAUGAAGGUCUUCGGAUCGUAAAACUCUGUUAUUAGGGAAGAACAAAUGUGUAAGUAACUAUGCACGUCUUGACGGUACCUAAUCAGAAAGCCACGGCUAACUACGU
rnacentral:rRNA from 1 species